rnacentral:rRNA from 1 species
CAAGUCGAACGAUGAACCGGUUUCGGCCGGGGAUUAGUGGCGAACGGGUGAGUAACACGUGGGCAAUCUGCCCUGCACUCUGGGACAAGCCCUGGAAACGGGGUCUAAUACCGGAUACGACGCGUUCCCGCAUGGGAUACGUGUGGAAAGCUCCGGCGGUGCAGGAUGAGCCCGCGGCCUAUCAGCUUGUUGGUGGGGUGAUGGCCUACCAAGGCGACGACGGGUAGCCGGCCUGAGAGGGCGACCGGCCACACUGGGACUGAGACACGGCCCAGACUCCUACGGGAGGCAGCAGUGGGGAAUAUUGCACAAUGGGCGCAAGCCUGAUGCAGCGACGCCGCGUGAGGGAUGACGGCCUUCGGGUUGUAAACCUCUUUCAGCAGGGAAGAAGCGUGAGUGACGGUACCUGCAGAAGAAGCGCCGGCUAACUACGUGCCAGCAGCCGCGGUAAU